rnacentral:tRNA from 1 species
GCGAAAGUGGCGGAAUCGGUAGACGCACUGGAUUUAGGUUCCAGCGCCGAAAGGCAUGGGGGUUCGAGUCCCUCCUUUCGCACCA